GUGGGAAACACAGAUAUAGGAUAUCUUAUUUGUUCUAUUAGAUCAUCUUCAUUAUCUAACGUCACUUUUAGUUCACGUUGGAAGUUUUUUGGUAAUAAUAAAAACCAAAUACAUCUCAUAAAGUUAAUGUAAACUGACUGCUAUCAUCACAACAUAUAAGAUCUCCUAAGCCUGUGUUAAAGAAGCAUUAUGUCGAGUUGUUGCAUUAUAAUGUCAUGAUAUAUCUGCAGUAACCGUAUAAUUCUAGUGUUGUAACAUAUAUUAUAUAUAUGUAUAUAUAAUGCUUUGGGCUCUUACAUAACACUCCAUACAGAACCAAUCAGUCGAUAUAAUGGACAUCAUAAAUCACGCGAUGUGAAUCAGACAGUGGGGAGGUGCGACUCGUUGGUCAGAAGGUUCCAAUCAUCGUUUUAUGUCAUCAUUUCCGAGCAGUCAAACAGCGUCAACCACAGCUGUUAUUACACCCCGUUUACGUUGGCGGCGGUAAAGACCAUUUUUAUUGUGCAGUAACUAAAACUAGAAGAUCUGGCGUCCUUUCCCUUCGCCAAAGCGUACAUUUCCGGGGAGCCCGUGGCAUGGUGUGACAGACGUGAGGGAGAGGCUGAAAGCGGUGGCUAGCGAUCCGUCGCUGAUAAACAACUUGACUCGCUUCGACACGGCUGUGCGGUGACUGGGUCAGGGAUGUUAGGCGAUGGAGAACAAAGUAUGGAGCAUGGUGGUACAAAUAAAGGGGGAGAGAAUGUGAGUAGGGGUUUGAAGGGGAGAGAGAGUUAUGGAGGCAGAAAAUGACGUUUGAAGAGAGCAACAUAGUUUCCAGCGGCAGCUCGGGGGUCGAGAGUGCAGAGGAAGGGCAAGAUGCGUCGCGGGGUGAGGAGGAGCAUAAAGUGAUUAUGAACUUUAAGGGAGGAAGGGGGAGUUGGGGCGACGAGUCCGAUAAGGUUGACGGCUGUGAUAAAGUAGUUGAUUGGGGAAAUUGUCAACGCUAAAGUGUUACUGGAUGGGAGCUUGUUGGUGUUCUGUAAGGACAAUGCGCAGAGGGGAAAAGCUCUUGAGUGAAGCAAAUAGGAAAGUGUAAGGUGGUGUCGAGCAGCUGGACUGAUCAAGCAGGAAAACUGUGGAUUAAAGGGGUGAUAACAGGAGUGAAUGUGAGUGUUGGCACUAAAGAGGUAAGAGACAACUUGAGAUGAGUUAUUCUAGUAAAUGAUCAAAGAUUGCAAAAAAACAAGGGGUGGAGUUAGGGUAGAUAGCCCGUUUAUUCUGUUACACUUCAAGGACCGGGUACUGCCAAAUAUAGUAACCAUAGGAUACAUGAGUGUAUCCUAUAAACUGGGUGGUUUGAGCCCUGAAUUCUGAUUGGCUGAAGGCCAUAGUAUAUCAGACCGUAUGCCACUGGUCUGACAAAACAUUUAGUUUUACUGCUCUGAUUACAUUGGUAACCAGUUUAUAAUAGCAAUAAGGCUCCUUAGCCUGAUGUGAUUUGUGUGUGUGAAGGAAACAUGGCUCGUCCCUAGACGAGCAAGGACUUGCUUAUAGGAUGCUGGACAGUAUGAAUAACUGGGUGAGAACAGCGUUAGUGGGGCCAGCUACUGAGGUGAUACCUAAGAGUUCAGGGGGGAGGUGAUAUCUCAGGUGGAUAUGAGAGGGGAUGUGGACAGUAUGAAUAACUGGGUGAGAACAGCGUUAGUGGGGGCAGAUACUGAGGUGAUACCUAAGAGUUCAGGGAGGAGGUGAUAUCUCGGGUGGAUAUGAGAGGGGAUGUGGACCGUAUG